GGGACACGUGGUAUCCUGUCUGAAUAUGGGGGGACCAUCCUCCAAGGCUAAAUACUCCUGACUGACCGAUAGUGAACCAGUACCGUGAGGGAAAGGCGAAAAGAACCCCGGCGAGGGGAGUGAAAAAGAACCUGAAACCGUGUACGUACAAGCAGUGGGAGCACCUUCGGGUGUGACUGCGUACCUUUUGUAUAAUGGGUCAGCGACUUAUAUUCUGUAGCAAGGUUAACCGUAUAGGGGAGCCGCAGGGAAACCGAGUCUUAACUGGGCGUUAAGUUGCAGGGUAUAGACCCGAAACCCGGUGAUCUAGCCAUGGGCAGGUUGAAGGUUGGGUAACACUAACUGGAGGACCGAACCGACUAAUGUUGAAAAAUUAGCGGAUGACUUGUGGCUGGGGGUGAAAGGCCAAUCAAACCGGGAGAUAGCUGGUUCUCCCCGAAAGCUAUUUAGGUAGCGCCUCGUGAAUUCAUCUUCGGGGGUAGAGCACUGUUUCGGCUAGGGGGUCAUCCCGACUUACCAACCCGAUGCAAACUACGAAUACCGAAGAAUGUUAUCACGGGAGACACACGGCGGGUGCUAACGUCCGUCGUGAAGAGGGAAACAACCCAGACCGCCAGCUAAGGUCCCAAAGUCAUGGUUAAGUGGGAAACGAUGUGGGAAGGCACAGACAGCCAGGAUGUUGGCUUAGAAGCAGCCAUCAUUUAAAGAAAGCGUAAUAGCUCACUGGUCGAGUCGGCCUGCGCGGAAGAUGUAACGGGGCUAAACCAUGCACCGAAGCUGCGGCAGCGACACUAUGUGUUGUUGGGUAGGGGAGCGUUCUGUAAGCCUGCGAAGGUGACCUGUGAGGGUUGCUGGAGGUAUCAGAAGUG
rnacentral:rRNA from 1 species